UUCUAUACUAGACAUGUAUUGCAGGUGUAGUUGUUUCUCUGAAGCAAAUAGAUAUUUCUAUGAAAUGAAUCAAAGGGAUUUGAUCACAUGGAACACCUUGAUCGCGGGAUAUGAAAGAUCCAAUCCAACUGAGACAUCAAGAAACUUGUUGACUGGCUUGCCAGAGAAUAUUGGAAGGCUUUCACGUCUCAUUCGUCUUGACUUUCAUCAGAACAGAAUUUCAUCAACACCAGCAUCAA